UACAGAGGGUGCAAGCGUUGUUCGGAAUUAUUGGGCGUAAAGGGCGCGUAGGCGGUGCGGUAAGUCUUUUGUGAAAUCUCCGGGCUCAACUCGGAGUCUGCAGGAGAAACUGCCGUGCUUGAGUGUGGGAGAGGUGAGUGGAAUUCCCGGUGUAGCGGUGAAAUGCGUAGAUAUCUGGAGGAACACCGGUGGCGAAGGCGGCAUCCUGGACCAAUACUGACACUGAGGAGCGAAAGCCAGGGGAGCAAACGGG
rnacentral:rRNA from 1 species